UACAGAGGCCUCAAGCGUUAUCCGGAAUCACUGGGCGUAAAGGGUGUGUAGGCGGCAGUAUUAGUCCUUCGUGAAAGGCCUUGGGCUUAACCUAGGGACCGCGGGGGAAACGGUACUGCUUUGAGGACACGAGAGGUAGAGGGAACUCAUGGUGUAGGGGUGAAAUCCGUUGAUAUCAUGGGGAACACCAAAUGCGAAGGCACUGUACUGGCACACUCCUGACGCUGAAAUACGAAAGCGUGGGUAGCGAACGGG
rnacentral:rRNA from 1 species